GGGAAUUUUCCGCAAUGGGCGAAAGCCUGACGGAGCAAUGCCGCGUGGAGGUGGAAGGCCUACGGGUCGUCAACUUCUUUUCUCGGAGAAGAAACAAUGACGGUAUCUGAGGAAUAAGCAUCGGCUAACUCUGCGCCAG
rnacentral:rRNA from 1 species